rnacentral:rRNA from 1 species
AACGAACGCUGGCGGCAUGCCUAACACAUGCAAGUCGAACGAGACCUUCGGGUCUAGUGGCGCACGGGUGCGUAACGCGUGGGAACCUGCCCUUAGGUUCGGAAUAACUCCCCGAAAGGGGUGCUAAUACCGGAUAAUGUCUUCGGACCAAAGAUUUAUCGCCUUUGGAUGGGCCCGCGUUGGAUUAGCUAGUUGGUAGGGUAAAAGCCUACCAAGGCGACGAUCCAUAGCUGGUCUGAGAGGAUGAUCAGCCACACUGGGACUGAGACACGGCCCAGACUCCUACGGGAGGAAGGAGUGGGGAAUAUUGGACAAUGGGCGAAAGGCUGAUCCAGCAAUGCCGCGUGAGUGAUGAAGGACUUAGGGAUGUAAAGCUCUUAUACCCGGGAAGAUAAUGACAGUACCGGGAGAAUAAGCUCCGGCUAAAUCCGUG